rnacentral:rRNA from 1 species
CCCUGAUGUUAGCGGCGGACGGGUGAGUAACACGUGGGUAACCUGCCUGUAAGACUGGGAUAACUCCGGGAAACCGGGGCUAAUACCGGAUGCUUGAUUGAACCGCAUGGUUCAAUUAUAAAAGGUGGCUUUUAGCUACCACUUACAGAUGGACCCGCGGCGCAUUAGCUAGUUGGUGAGGUAACGGCUCACCAAGGCAACAAUGCGUAGCCAACCUGAGAGGGUGAUCGGCCACACUGGGACUGAAACACGGCCCAAACUCCUACGGGAGGCAGCAGUAGGGAAUCUUCCGCAAUGGACAAAAGUCUGACGGAGCAACGCCGCGUGAGUGAUGAAGGUUUUCGGAUCGUAAAACUCUGUUGUUAGGGAAGAACAAGUACCGUUCGAAUAGGGCGGUACCUUGACGGUACCUAACCAGAAAGCCACGGCUAACUACGUGCCAGCAGCCGCGGUAAUACGUAGGUGGCAAGCGUUGUCCGGAAUUAUUGGGCGUAAAGCGCGCGCAGGCGGUUUCUUAAGUCUGAUGUGAAAGCCCCCGGCUCAACCGGGGAGGGUCAUUGGAAACUGGGGAACUUGAGUGCAGAAGAGGAGAGUGGAAUUCCACGUGUAGCGGUGAAAUGCGUAGAGAUGUGGAGAAACACCAGUGGCGAAGGCGACUCUCUGGUCUGUAACUGACGCUGAGGCGCGAAAGCGUGGGGAGCGAACAGGAUUAGAUACCCUGGUAGUCCACGCCGUAAACGAUGAGUGCUAAGUGUUAGAGGGUUUCCGCCCUUUAGUGCUGCAGCAAACGCAUUAAGCACUCCGCCUGGGGAGUACGGUCGCAAGACUGAAACUCAAA